CCUACGGGAGGCUGCAGUGGGGAAUAUUGCACAAUGGGCGCAAGCCUGAUGCAGCCAUGCCGCGUGUGUGAAGAAGGCCUUCGGGUUGUAAAGCACUUUCAGCGGGGAGGAAGGCGUUAAGGUUAAUAACCUUGGCGAUUGACGUUACCCGCAGAAGAAGCACCGGCUAACUCCGUGCCAGCAGCCGCGGUAAUACGGAGGGUGCAAGCGUUAAUCGGAAUUACUGGGCGUAAAGCGCACGCAGGCGGUCUGUCAAGUCGGAUGUGAAAUCCCCGGGCUCAACCUGGGAACUGCAUUCGAAACUGGCAGGCUAGAGUCUUGUAGAGGGGGGUAGAAUUCCAGGUGUAGCGGUGAAAUGCGUAGAGAUCUGGAGGAAUACCGGUGGCGAAGGCGGCCCCCUGGACAAAGACUGACGCUCAGAUGCGAAAGCGUGGGGAGCAAACAGGAUUAGAUACCCGUGUAGUC
rnacentral:rRNA from 1 species